UACAGAGGGUGCGAGCGUUGUCCGGAAUCACUGGGCGUAAAGGGCGCGUAGGUGGUGGCUUAAGCGUGCGGUGAAAGCUCGGGGCUCAACCCCGGAGUCGGCCGUGCGAACUGGGCUCACUGGAGCAUAGUAGAGGCAGGUGGAAUUCCGGGUGUAGCGGUGGAAUGCGUAGAGAUCCGGAAGAACACCGGUGGCGAAGGCAGGUCUCUGGGCCACUACUGACGCUGAGAAGCGAAAGCAUGGGGAGCGAACAGG
rnacentral:rRNA from 1 species